rnacentral:lncRNA from 1 species
CGGCUGCGUGCCCUGGGGUGCCGGGCGACUGCGGCGCGGCCACGGCCCCGAGCCCGACUCGCCCUUCCGCCGCAGCCCGCCCCGCGGCCCCGCCUCCCCGCAGCGCUGACCUCCACGCCCGGACCCCUGGCCACCCCGACAAGCUUCGCCGAGGUGCCGACCGACCAACUGAUCGCGGACGCCGGCUGGAAGGACUACGGAUCCGCAGGAAGAGGCAGUGGGGGGCCAGGGGCCCAGUAGAGGAGGCUGAGGUGCGGUCUUAGCGGCUGCUCCUUCCAACUCCUCAGAACCUCCACUCUAUGGAUCUGGACCUCUGGAUUCGGCUUUCUCCCUGGGCACUGCCUUCAGGAAGACGUUGAGAAUUGACCUUACACAAUCCCAGCGCCCUCCUCACAGGAGCCUUUCACUUUACAGUGGCAAGGGGCUGGUUCUGGGGAACUGGCUGAUGCUCUGAAUUUCUUCAUAUACCCCACAUUUGACUUUGGCUUACACUGUACAAUUGGAGAUGUUGCUACAGGUCCCUGAGAUGCAAUCAGAUUAAGCGUAGCAAGCAUUGCCAAUGGGAAAGUCAAAAUAAUUUAUUUUUUUUCCCUUUCCCCCUACCCCAUCCCCAGCCAAGAAUUUCUUUUAAAGAUAUCGUCAUCAUUCUUAAACAACAUUCUUAACCCCCAGCUGGGGUCCCCAUUUUAGUAGAUGUCAUUGCUUCAAGUCUAACGGCGCCGGGAGGCCUGUUUGAGGGAAAACAUUAGUUUGAAAAAUCCCCGUUCCCUUCAUCCACUGCCCUUGUUCUCCACGUGGGAGUGUGCCUGUGGCCCCUUAGAAAGAUAGUCUGCUGGCUCCUAGGGGUUGGGGUGGGGGACACACCUUUUUCUCAGGAAGAGGUGAUGGCAAUGUAAAACAUCUAAGCAAAGUUUUAAAUGAAAAAAAGGAAACACAUUUAAACAUCCUGAUAAUGGAGGGAAGGGGGGCACAUUUACACAUAGCCCAGAACUUGUAGAAUUCUGCAUAGUGAAUGUAUAUUGAAUUAGUCUCCUGC